GUUGGAGCAAAUUCGGAUAUUCAUUUGGUGCUUUUUGAUGAAGAAAACAGGGCAGUUGGUUUUCACUCGAAAUCAGGAGGUCUCUGGUUUUUCUUGUAUUUCAGAGUAUAUCGGUGGAGUUAGAAUCUCUAUUUGGAACAAGUUAAAGAGGUCGUGUGCACGCGAUUCUGGAAGUGGUUCUAUUUUGAGGGUUAUAUGUGUUUAUGCACGGGGAAUCAGAUUUAUAUGUCUUCAGGCCGAGAAGAAUUAAACAGAGCUUAUAGACCAAGGAUCUAGCCCAAGACUGUAGAGAUCGACUUCCCGGUGCCUGAUAGACUGCCUUAGUCUGCGGAAACUUCAUUAUCGAUUGCCAGUACGUGUUUUGAGUUGGGCAUAAAGUCUGUUGUGUUGUGAUGUAUUCACACCCUUGUAUGUUAUAUAUACUCCACAGUUUGUAUAAGCUUUAGGAGCUUUAGUUGUGUAAAUUUUGUUGGUUAUAUUUUGAUUAAGGUGUCUUUAGGUUUACUCGUGAAAUCGGUAAAUUUUGAGGUACAUUUCAUGUA